GACGAACGCUGGCGGCGUGCUUAACACAUGCAAGUCGAACGGAAAGGCCCUGCUUUUGUGGGGUGCUCGAGUGGCGAACGGGUGAGUAACACGUGAGUAACCUGCCCUUGACUUUGGGAUAACUUCAGGAAACUGGGGCUAAUACCGGAUAGGAGCUCCUGCUGCAUGGCGGGGGUUGGAAAGUUUCGGCGGUUGGGGAUGGACUCGCGGCUUAUCAGCUUGUUGGUGGGGUAGUGGCUUACCAAGGCUUUGACGGGUAGCCGGCCUGAGAGGGUGACCGGCCACAUUGGGACUGAGAUACGGACCAGAGUCCUACGGGAGGCAGCAGUGGGGAAUAUUGCACAAUGGGCGGAAGCCUGAUGCAGCAACGCCGCGUGCGGGAUGACGGCCUUCGGGUUGUAAACCGCUUUCGCCUGUGACGAAGCGUGAGUGACGGUAAUGGGUAAAGAAGCACCGGCUAACUACGUG
rnacentral:rRNA from 1 species